GAAAAAACCCUACGUGGGUUAGAUGGAAAGCUGGCCGUGUCACCCAGGUUCAAACACAAUGGGGCAGAGCAUUGGUUGCAGACAGAGUGAGGAUGGCAGAGGCACAGGACUCUCUUCUCUGAAGCUAUCUGCACCCUCCGACUUGGGUUUCAACUUUGAAGUUUCAUUAGCAGGCUGCUACUAACCGAUAUUGCGAUUCUUAUCGCUCCCUAAAUUAUCUUCCCCCAUGGCUAUCAUAGCCGUGGACUAAUUUGAUUCCAGGGCUAUCAAAAAAAAAAAAAAUCUCCUAGAGUUAAAAUAACACUUGAAGAGCCAUCUGAAAUCAAAUUGCACAUAUUGCUUACAGAGAUCACUUAUUAUUUAGACUCACCUGUAAUUAUAUCGAAAUAUCUUUUUAAAUGAAUGCUAAUUUCUCAUAUGGAUAAUACGUUUCGUGGGGUCAUAGAAUGCUUGUGCGCACCUUAACCCGAUUGCAGGUGGCAUGGGCUGUGGUGCUUUGUCCUUACAUGGUAAGACUGGUGUAAAACAUCUGGGUGGCUGUGUGGCUGUGUGGCUGUGUGGCCUUGAGCCUUGCAGCUAAUUGGAGGCUGUAGUCCCCGUUCUUGUUUCUCCCAAUAUUCUCUAAGUGAUGCAUCUACCUCUUAGUGGCUCAUCUCUGGAGCAGGCUGACUUUCAAGGCCUUAAGAAGCCCUGACAAUCAUGCCACCUCUUCAAGGGCCUACCAGCAUGCUUGGUCAGAACAGAAAACUUUGCUGGGUGACUGUGAGACUGGGCCCCCAGUCUGUUUCCAGUGUUUUGGCUGAACCUCUGAGAAGGAACUGGGGUAGGGGCUUUCCAGCCCCAGGACAUGACUCACGUUCGGUUUCUGAGUCUUCAGCCAAUGAUCAGUAUUUCCAUACAGUGAGCAAUGUGUGUGUCCUUCCUUGCAUCCAGACAAACAACUCUGCUCUUUCACCCGGGCCCUCUGCUGUCCUCUGUCUCCACAGGAGACAGAGGUUGUAUGAGCCAGCAUCCAUCCCAAGCUUGGGAUGAGGGAAGCAUCCCUCGGUCAUCAGUGCCUGACUUCCACAGAGCCUCAGCAGCUUCUCCUGCCAGGCUGAUUUAGUAUCCUUCCAUACUGCCUUUUCUUCUGGAAAGAUGACCUCAUAGAAUGGACUGCAGCUUUGCACGCAGCCCCAGGUCUCACAAGUGGCUUGGCCUUGAGAAACCGUAGAGACCUUUAUCUAUUUUUUUACUUUAUUUAUUUUUAUUAUUUUGGCUAUUAGACUCACAGUGCUUAGUGUGGGACUCAAAACCCAAGGAGAACUCAGAAAACUUGUGCUUAAUGAAGAAGAAGAAAAAGGGAGGGAAACAGAAAAGGAGUGGAGGGGUGGGCAGAAGAGUAAGCUUGCUACCUCUAAGCUUAUCCCCAGUGCUCUGGGUGGAAGCUAUCCUCUCUUUAUCCAAGAUUUCCUCAUGGGAUUGUCUACUGGGUGAGUCUGUACACUCUGUGAAUUAGGUGUCCCAUAUUAGGUGUGUGUGUGUUUGUGUGUGCGUGUUGGUGGGGAAGCUAUAGAGAGUAGAUGUGCCAUUGGUGAGGUCAAAGUUCCCAUGUAACAAAAAUACAGGUAAUGAGUCUUUUUCAAAGUCACAUUUUGCAAUUUAAAACACUGAGUCAGGUUCGAGGGUGACAUACGUCUUGCUCUUUGUGGAAAUCAAGACUUGCCUGUCAGUACUAACUGUCCAUGUUUCCUGUCCACGGAUCCUGUACAAGGGGUCAGGUAUUAGGCCAAAAGACUAAUUUUUCCUCAUCUCAAUUUUCUUUUGUUUACCAGUAUACCUUAGACUUCUCUGGCCCUGUGUAACCUGGCAGACAGGAAAAAAAAAUGGCUUGUAGCCAUUGAAGAAGAAAUGUCUCCCCUGGGAUUCCAUUCCUCACUGAGAGUGACCGAUUCAUUUGGGACCAUGUUGCUUCUGCUUGAUAGUGGCGGGGCGGGGGUUGGGGGUGGUGGUUAGAGCUCAAGACCAUGGCUGUGGUUUUUGCUUCUGUCUUUCGAGGCCUGGUGGGAGCUUUUCCUAGUCAGGCCCUUAAGUGAUGCCUGUAACUCAGAGUUCCACUGGAUACUUUCUGUGUGGCUCUGGCUGUCCUGGGACUCGAUCUAUAGACCAGGCUGGCCUCCACCUGGGAGAUCUGCCUGUCUCUGACAUCUGAAUGCUGGGGUUCGAGGUGAGUGCCAGCACCACCCAACCCCGUUUGAUAUUCUCUACCCUUGUUCUACCAAGAUUCUGCGGAAUGCCUUCUGCUCCUCACAGAGGCCAGUUAGAAUCUCAGCUUGGAAACACCCGUGCAAUUUCUGUGAAAUUAUGGCACGGUAAUCUCUUCAUCUGAGAGUCAUGGGGCGCCGUGCGUUUGGCUUCUUCUCCGGGAAUCAGAGGCAGUGAUGGCGGAGAUGAUGACAACGGAGACAACUGCGGUUCAGGCUGGGUCUGCCGGCAGCCUUCUGAGCUCUGGGUCAUUCUCCAUUUUCCCACUUUCUAGUGCAUAGGCUGGGGUGACAGGACAGCUCCCUGCCCUCACCUGCCUGCACGGGAUGGGGAAGCGAUCCGCUAUUCCACAUCUUUUUCCCUUCCGAAAGCAUGAGAAGGUCCCAUGCCGAGGCACCCAAGGAAAGCUGGAAAAGUGUGCGUCCUAGGCCAAAGGCCCUCCUGCCCGUCUGCAGCACUGAGCCGAGCCGCAUCAACCCUGACUUUGAGUGGCAAAUUACAGCCUGCCUGUGUAAUAGCUCUCCAUCUUAUUUAUUCAUUUUUUUUGAAUUCCUAAAAAAAAAAUCAUGGCAAGAAGAUCAGCAUGGCCCCCUGCCCCCCGCACUGUGGAAGUUUGAUAAUGUAUGUCCUAACCGCUUAAUUGAUUGAUUACCUCGCUCCAGCUUCCUGAGGUACCAAAUUUAUCUCUAAUAGCCAGCGUCAGGCUCGGCAGGCAACCGUGGGGGGGAUGGGGGUCCCUUGGUGUCGAUUUGCUCUUAACUGGAAAGUCAUUACCACUUAAUACAUGUAGAUUGUGUUGAAAGAAAAUUAUGUGUAAUGAAAUGAGGGGGAAAUUAGUGGAGUGUUAUGGGCGAAAGCAGAUGUUAGUGAGGAAUUAUGCUAGCAGAGAUAAUCACCUUCGCUGGUAUUGUGUGUGCUGGGGUGUUAACUCAGGGAGAGGCCGGCAGAGAGCUAAGCCAGUGUAUUGUUGGGCCCAGAUUCGCCCCCAGAACCUCAGUGAUGAACUGGACUUGGAUGCUGAGCCCCUCGAGCUGGGCUCACCCACAUCUGUAUCUCUUUCUUGUUGGCUUUUUGAGGUGCUAGGACUCAAAGCAUUUACCUGCUGGCACUUACAGAGGCAGCAUGGAGUCACUCAUGAGGCCUGAGGACAGCAAUCCACUUUCACUCUUGCAUUAGCUGAGUCUAUUCAAAACAUGACAGAUUCAAAACAAACAAACAAACAAACAAACAGAAAAACAGGAGCAACAAAAAGCAACAAACUAACAAAUGACAAGAGGCUCUGAGACCUUUUGUUAAUGGUCUUAUCCCAAAGAGAGGUAUUUAAGUGCACAUGGGUGACGCCAGAAAAAUUAGAUUCCUUGUUUCUGUGUCCUGGGAUGCUGAGGAAAGUGACAAAUAUUUACAGUCCCCACCUCUCUGGAGUGCCUGCUACCAGGGCUACACAGAGAUAAAAGUCUCCGUGCAUAGUUACAGCUACUAGGAGACAGAGGGAAAUCUGGCCCUUAGCUCAGGGUCAGCUGAUAUUUCAGAGGCCACACGGAAUUUGCAGGACUCUAGAGUCUAAAGGCUGUGAGGUAACACCACACAGUGACCACUGUCUCAGCAUAGGGUAGGCAGGCACAUGCAGGUGUUCCAUGAUGCCCUCAGGGUCUGGGUGAGGCUCAGGGCAAGGCUGCUUCUGUGGUCUACAGCCAUGAAUAGAAACUCUCAUAUCAUUUGCAGUGCCAUGGUGGAGAGGCCCAUGGUCCCACCCACAGCAUCACAAAGAUCAAUGAGCCGAGUGGAUACAAAUGGUACUGAGCAUCUUAAAUGGAGUUUCUAAUAGGAAAGUAGACACCUCAGGGCUUGCAGGCUCUGGGCUUAAAGGUUAGGGGUAAGUCUGUUUUAUGACUAUGUUGGGUAAAUAAGUCCUCCAACCAGUGUUCAACAGCUUGAUAGUACAAAUCUCCAGUAUACUGCAUACAAUGCCUAGUGCUUCUAGGCACUCAGUAGUUGACAUUCAUAGGUUAUGAGAAUGACAGUUUUGCAUAGAAGUAUACAUGUUAAAUUAUGCCUAAUAGAUAUAGGCAGAUAUGCACAUAUGCACACACAUAUAGAUGGAUAGAUAGAUGAGAGAGAGAGAAAGAAAGAGAGAAACAGACUGGAAGAAUGAGAUGAGAAAAAGAAAAAAAGAGAAAUUAUAUGAUAGAUAGAUAUAGAGAUAGAUAGAGAUAUAUGUAGAUAGAUGAUAGAUUGAUAGAUUAUGGAUAACUAGAUAUAGGUAGAUAGACAGAAUAUAGCAGAUCAUUUAAAAUGUUUUUAAAAUAGUUCUUUAAAUAGAGCAUCCAUUCAUAGGCUUGUCUUAGUUGCUUAAUGCAGCGAGUGUCCAGAUGACCUCCAGAGACUUUUGUAAGUCAUGACAUAAGGCUGUCUUACUACUUGAGAUCUGUGAAGGUAUAUACUCUACACACACACACACACACACACACACACACACACACACACACACACACUCUCACACACACACACAGUGUUCUGGCAAGGACUGACAGAAAGCCAAAGGAUCAAAAGUUAAGUUAACAAAUUUCAUUCCUCUAG
rnacentral:lncRNA from 1 species